rnacentral:rRNA from 1 species
UACAGAGGUCUCAAGCGUUGUUCGGAUUCAUUGGGCGUAAAGGGUGCGUAGGCGGCGCGGUAAGUCGGGUGUGAAAUCUCGGAGCUUAACUCCGAAACUGCAUUCGAUACUGCCGUGCUUGAGGACUGGAGAGGAGACUGGAAUUUACGGUGUAGCGGUGAAAAUGCGUAGAUAUCGUAAGGAAGGCCAGUGGGCGAAGGCGGGGUCUCUGGACAGCUCCUGACGC